rnacentral:rRNA from 1 species
UACGGGGGGAGCAAGCGUUGUUCGGAUUUACUGGGCGUAAAGGGCGCGUAGGCGGCCAGCACAAGUCAGUUGUGAAAUCUCCGGGCUUAACUCGGAAAGGUCAACUGAUACUGUGCGGCUAGAGUGCAGAAGGGGCAACUGGAAUUCUCGGUGUAGCGGUGAAAUGCGUAGAUAUCGAGAGGAACACCUGCGGCGAAGGCGGGUUGCUGGGCUGGACACUGACGCUGAUGCGCGAAAGCCAGGGGAGCGAACGGG